rnacentral:tRNA from 2 species
GCCAGAGUAGCUCAGUGGUAGAGCACUGCUUUCGUAAAGCAGCGGUCGUCGGUUCGAAUCCGAUCUCUGGCUCCA